AGUUAGUGUUUUCAAUUAAAAGGGCUGAAAUGUGCCUUAAAAACCAUCACCUUUAACCAUGAUCUAUUUAAAAAUCAACAGAAGCUUUCUGAGAAUUCUCUCUGUAGCUCACAAAUCAAUUAAAUCGUUUCAAGAAAUUGAAACGUGCUAACAGUAGAAGUUCCUCUAACCGCUAUUCGAAAAGCAGAAAAUGUAUGGUCAAGCAGAUUUUUUUAGGGUAGCGCUGGACUUCUCUAGGGGGUGUUAGACACCACUAGGUGGGGUGCGCAACCCCUACAUGCCCACAGUAGAUCUGCCCCUGCCACUGAGCCAUGCAUAAAUUUCAAAUAUCGCAGUGUAAUUUAUGCAAAAGCACAAACACAUAGACUCGAUGAGAAAUUGAGCUAGAGUCAUGUGAUGCAGACCAUAUGAAAAGCAAAGAACAUUAUAAAACAAAAGUGAACAGAAACAGUCCCAGACAUUCCAACUACUGGAGGUAAAAUUUAGGGAGAUUGUUCAGUGAAUUGAAAUCUAGUUCUUCUUGGAAAAAAUAAUAAAAAUUAAGUCUUCUGAAAUGUUGUUAUAAGUGAUCAU